rnacentral:rRNA from 1 species
AGUACGUUCGCAAGAAUGAAACUCAAAGGAAUUGACGGGGGCCCGCACAAGCGGUGGAGCAUGUGGUUUAAUUCGAUGAUACGCGAGGAACCUUACCAGGGCUUAAAUGCAGGCUGCAUGGGGUAGAGAUACCCCUUUCUUCGGACCGCCUGCAAGGUGCUGCAUGGUUGUCGUCAGCUCGUGCCGUGAGGUGUCAGGUUAAGUCCUAUAACGAGCGCAACCCCUACCGUUAGUUGCCAGCAUGUCAAGAUGGGGACUCUAACGGGACUGCCGGUGCAAACCGUGAGGAAGGUGGGGACGACGUCAAAUCAUCACGGCCCUUACGUCCUGGGCUACACACGUGCUACAAUGGCCGGUACAGAGGGAAGCCACCCCGCAAGGGGGCGCGGAUCUACAAAACCGGUCACAGUUCGGAUCGGGGUCUGCAACUCGACCCCGUGAAGCUGGAAUCGCUAGUAAUCGGAUAUCAGCCAUGAUCCGGUGAAUACGUUCCCGGGCCUUGUACACACCGCCCGUCAAGCCAUGGAAGCCGGGAGUGCCUGAAGUCCGUCACCGCGAGGAGCGGCCUAGGGCAAAAUCGGUAACUAGGGCUAAGUCGUAACAAGGUAACC